GAUGAAGAACGUAGUGAAAUGCGAUAAGUAAUGUGAAUUGCAGAAUUCAGUGAAUCAUCGAAUCUUUGAACGCACAUUGCGCCCGCCAGUAUUCUGGCGGGCAUGCCUGUUCGAGCGUCAUUUCAACCAUCAAGCCCCCGGCUUGUGUUGGGGACCUGCGGCUGCCGCAGGCCCUGAAAAGCAGUGGCGGGCUCGCUGUCACACCGAGCGUAGUAGCAUACAUCUCGCUCUGGGCGUGCUGCGGGUUCCGGCCGUUAAACCACCUUCAUAACCCAAGGUUGACCUCGGAUCAGGUAGGAAGACCCGCUGAACUUAAGCAUAUCAAUAAGCGAGGA
rnacentral:misc_RNA from 1 species